rnacentral:tRNA from 1 species
GACUUUAGUAUUAGUUAUUUUGAAAGUAAUUAUAAAGGAUUUUCCUUUAAAGUCG